rnacentral:rRNA from 1 species
UAACACGUAGGCAACCUGCCUGCAAGACCGGGAUAACCCACGGAAACGUGAGCUAAUACCGGAUAUCUCAUUUCCUCUCCUGAGGGGAUGAUGAAAGACGGAGCAAUCUGUCACUUGCGGAUGGGCCUGCGGCGCAUUAGCUAGUUGGUGAGGUAAUGGCUCACCAAGGCGACGAUGCGUAGCCGACCUGAGAGGGUGAACGGCCACACUGGGACUGAGACACGGCCCAGACUCCUACGGGAGGCAGCAGUAGGGAAUCUUCCGCAAUGGGCGAAAGCCUGACGGAGCAACGCCGCGUGAGUGAUGAAGGUUUUCGGAUCGUAAAGCUCUGUUGCCAGGGAAGAACGUCCGAUAGAGUAACUGCUAUCGGAGUGACGNUACCUGAGANGAAAGCCCCGGCUAACUACGUGCCAGCAGCCGCGGUAAUACGUAGNNNGCAAGCGUUGUCCGGAAUUAUUGGGCGUAAAGCGCGCGCAGGCGGUCAUUUANNUCUGGUGUUUAAGGCCAAGGCUCAACCUUGGUUCGCACUGGAAACUGGGUGACUUGAGUGCAGAAGAGGAGAGUGGAAUUCCACGUGUAGCGGUGAAAUGCGUAGAUAUGUGGAGGAACACCAGUGGCGAAGGCGACUCUCUGGGCUGUAACUGACGCUGAGGCGCGAAAGCGUGGGGA